rnacentral:rRNA from 1 species
AGCAGCCGCGGUAAUUCCAGCUCCAAUAGCGUAUAUUAAAGUUGUUGCAGUUCAAAAGCUCGUAGUUGAAUUUCGGGGUCAGUAGAUUGGUCGUGCCACUGGUAUGUACUGGUCUCACUGGCUCCUCCUUCCUGAUGAACCGUAAUGCCAUUAAUUUGGUGUUGCGGGGAGACUGGACUGUUACUUUGAAAAAAUUAGAGUGUUUAAAGCAGGCUAACGCUUGAAUACAUUAGCAUGGAAUAAUGAAAUAGGACGUUCGAUCUUAUUUUGUUGGUUUCUAAGAUUGACGUAAUGAUUAAUAGGGAUAGUUGGGGGCAUUAGUAUUCAAUUGUCAGAGGUGGAAUUCUUGGAGUUAU